UCUUGUGAUGAUAACUGUCCAGUUCUGCUACUGAAGGGAAAGCGAUGUAAACCUACAGAGCUGAGGAGG